GGGGGCGACUGGUCUCGACGGGUACGGAAGUGAUUCCGCAGGAGCAUGCCGAGGUUCCACCGGCCUCGUUAAAAAGGUGGAAAUAGAAAUAAUUGCCGCAUAAAUAGCGACAGCUGCCCUCAAGAUGGGCAGUCGUUCCUCCAGGUUGUGUCUUCGGACCUGGAAGGGGCGUCGAUCAGAAGACUGGCCGCCAACCCGUGUUUCCCGGGGGAAUCGGCGAGAUCAAUGGGAACUGGCCCGAUGGCGGAGGUCCGCAGCCAACCGGAGGGCGAGAAAAACAAGGCGGACUAUGCAUGUAGCGCCUGCCGAGUCCCCGUGACCGGACGCGGGUUCGAAUCCCGCCGCCUCCACCA
rnacentral:tmRNA from 2 species